UACGUAGGGUGCGAGCGUUAAUCGGAAUUACUGGGCGUAAAGCGUGCGCAGGCGGUUUUGUAAGCCAGGUGUGAAAUCCCCGGGCUUAACCUGGGAAUGGCAUUUGGGACUGCAAGGCUGGAGUGCGGCAGAGGAGACUGGAAUUCCUGGUGUAGCAGUGAAAUGCGUAGAUAUCAGGAGGAACACCAGUGGCGAAGGCGAGUCCCUGGACAACACCUGACACUGAGGCACGAAAGCUAGGGGAGCAAACGGG
rnacentral:rRNA from 1 species